rnacentral:rRNA from 1 species
UACGGGGGGGGCAAGCGUUGUUCGGAAUUACUGGGCGUAAAGGGCUCGUAGGUGGCCAACUAAGUCGGACGUGAAAUCCCUCGGCUUAACCGGGGAACUGCGUCCGAUACUGGAUGGCUUGAGUUUGGGAGAGGGAUGCGGAAUUCCAGGUGUAGCGGUGAAAUGCGUAGAUAUCUGGAGGAACACCGGCGGCGAAGGCGGCAUCCUGGACCAACACUGACACUGAGGAGCGAAAGCCAGGGGAGCAAACGGG